rnacentral:rRNA from 1 species
UACGUAGGGGGCAAGCGUUAUCCGGAUUUACUGGGUGUAAAGGGGGCGCAGACGGCGAUGCAAGCCAGGAGUGAAAGCCCGGGGCCCAACCCCGGGACUGCUCUUGGAACUGCGUGGCUGGAGUGCAGGAGGGGCAGGCGGAAUUCCUGGUGUAGCGGUGAAAUGCGUAGAUAUCAGGAGGAACACCGGUGGCGAAGGCGGCCUGCUGGACCGUGACUGACGUUGAGGCUCGAAAGCGUGGGGAGCAAACAGG